rnacentral:rRNA from 1 species
UACGGAAGGUGCGAGCGUUAAUCGGAAUUACUGGGCGUAAAGCGCACGUAGGUGGUUUUAUAAGUCGGAUGUGAAAGCCCCGGGCUUAACCUGGGAAUUGCAUCCGAGACUGUCUGACUUGAGUAUGCUAGAGGGAAGUGGAAUUCCAGGUGUAGCGGUGAAAUGCGUAGAUAUCAGGAGGAACACCAAUGGCGAAGGCAGCUCGCUGGGACGUGACUGACGCUGAGACGCGAAAGCGUGGGGAGCAAACAGG